AGCCAUCGCCUGGAGGGCAUCCAGUGUCUGUUAUCACUCACCUUAGGUAGUCUGUGAAGGUUCAGUCAUCACUGGUGCACGUGUAUCUUACCUGUGAUCAACACCGGCAGCCACAGACUCCUGCCCAAGGAACGAACACAGUGAUCGUGAUGACAUUGACAACAACGAGCAAGUCCUCCUAGACCUAGAGUGACCUCAAGCUGGGCCAAACAUGAUGUGGAAGAAGAAAUCAGUUGUCUCCAUCAGUCGGGUUUGUGCCAUGGCAGCUUUCUCCAGCUGUCCGGCAGAGGUCCAGUCCAUGCCAUGGAGAAAUUCAGCCCCCAACAAUGAGAUGGCAUGCCAGAGAUGGAUCCGCAGCUUCUCCUCCAAUCAGUCAAUCCUUGCAAUGCCCUUUCUCUUUUCUCUUCUUCUGUACCACCAUGCUUACACAUAACUGAUCCAAGGUACCACCACAGUUGCUGCAGCGGUAGCAGCGAUUGUUGUCGCUGGUUCUGCUGUUUGGGUUGUUAUUGUUGCAACUAUAGACAGAGGAAGCAGGUCAGCGACUCAACGUGACUGCCCAGUGGCCUGCCUUAAAUCUUGUAUAUUGUUUUUUGUUGUUGUUUUUUUGGUACUUAAACUCGUUAACCUCCUCCAUUUCUUCACCAUUCAAAAUUAUUUGGCAUUCUUUUUCACAUUCAAUGCCCACUCUAUAUGGGCAUACAAACUCUACAACCUCCCUUCUACUCCGCUCACAAACCAUCACUUUACUUUUGUUGACAUUUACUUUCAACUUUCUCCUUUUACAUACACUAUCAAAAACACUGACCAAAUUUUGUAAGUCACUUUCAUUUUCUGCAUUGAGCACCGUGUCAUCAGCAAAUAAGAUUGAAUUCAUCACCCACUUCCCUCCCUCCCUCAGCAUACAUUUUUACUUCAAUUUCCCCAACUUUGCCCUUCAUUUCUCAUAACACCAUCCAUAUAAAUAUUGAACAACCAUGAUGACAUGACACACCCCUUCUUUAGCCCACUUUCAUCUUAAAAUGUUCACUUGUUUCUCCAGUAAUUUUGACACAUGCAGAUGCAUCCUCAUAGAAAGACUUUAUUGCAUAAAGCAGUUUUCCUCCCACACCAUAUAUCUUUAAGACGUCCCACAAUGCCAGCCAAUCGACUCUGUCAUGAACUUUCUUUAGAAUAACUAGAUCCAUGAAGGCAGCAUAGUAUUUUUUCCUUUUGCUAAUAUUUUUUCUAAUAAAACACCAUCCUGAAGGAAAAUAUCUGAUCCACACAUCCUCUUCCCUUCCUGAAGUCUCCUUGUUCUUCACUGAUUUUCUCUUCUGUAAGUCUUUGCGCAGUCUCAAUUAGGACUUUUCCAUAUACCUUUCCAGGUAGCCUACACUCAGCAGACUU